GGUUCAAGGCUACUUAAGGCAUGGGGUCAUUAACAAGCACACAAGGCACCAUGACGGCAACUCUCUUAAAAAUAGAUUAGUUAGGAUUGCAUCCCAAAGAUAUAUAAUUGAUCAACUGUCUCAAAAUGUAAGAUGUUUUUUGACAUCGAGAUUAAUUAAGCAAGAAAACAUGGGGGAUACCAUCCACUUUUCAUACUCCCGUCCAGAGCACGGGCCCAUCUUUCUCUCCGCAAACCUAGA
rnacentral:lncRNA from 1 species